rnacentral:rRNA from 1 species
GAUAACCCCGGGAAACUGGGUAUAAUACCCGAUAGGUCUCGAUUGCUGGAAUGCAUCGAGAUUUAAAGCUCCGGCGCCUAAGGAUGGGUCUGCGGCCUAUCAGGUAGUAGUGGGUGUAGCGUACCUACUAGCCUACGACGGGUACGGGUUGUGAGAGCAAGAGCCCGGAGAUGGAUUCUGAGACACGAAUCCAGGCCCUACGGGGUGCAGCAGGCGCGAAAACUUUACAAUGCUGGCAACAGCGAUAAGGGAACCUCGAGUGCCAGGUUACAAAUCUGGCUGUCGAGAUGCCUAAAAAGCAUUUCAUAGCAAGGGCCGGGCAAGACCGGUGCCAGCCGCCGCGGUAACACCGGCGGCUCGAGUGGUAACCGUUAUUAUUGGGUCUAAAGGGUCUGUAGCCGGCCGGAUAAGUCUCUUGAGAAAUCUGGCAGCUUAACUGUCAGGCUUUCAGGAGAUACUGUCUGGCUCGAGGCCGGGAGAGGUGAGAGGUACUUCAGGGGUAGGGGUGAAAUCUUGUAAUCCUUGAAGGACCACCAGUGGCGAAGGCGUCUCACCAGAACGGACCUGACGGCAAGGGACGAAAGCUAGGGGCACGAACCGGAUUAGAUACCCGGGUAGUCCUAGCCGUAAACGAUACUCGCUAGGUGUCGGCCACGGUGCGACCGUUGUCGGUGCCGUAGGGAAGCCGUGAAGCGAGCCACCUGGGAAGUACGGCCGCAAGGCUGAAACUUAAAGGAAUUGGCGGGGGAGCACCACAACGGGGUGGAGCUUGCGGUUUAAUUGGAUUCAACGCCGGAAAUCUUACCGGGACCGACAGCAUAUGAAGGCCAGGCUGAAGACUUUGCCGGAUUAGCUGAGAGGAGGUGCAU